GGGUCGUUUGAUACUAAGUUUCGGACUAUAGCCCUAAACUCAGCUUAGAUUGAUAGAAGAAUAUAGAAGAAGAUAAAAAGAUUGGAAGAGAGAAGGGAGAUGAGAAAGGGAAGAGUAGAGAAUGAGAAAGAACUAGAGAGAGAAUAUUCUUUGCAUUAUUUCAUCAAUUACUCUUCCACUAUACAACAUUACAGUGUUAUUGUUAGUAUCACCAAGUGGCAAUUCCUUCGGGAUUCCCUCUUAACUUGAUUCCCUUUUGGAACCUUCUGCCAGCUUAGUGUUUCCAGAAUGCCUUGCAUUCCCAUUUUUCUUCUGGUGUAAACUCUUAAUAUCCCUAGGCCCUUGUUCAAUACUUCAAUUUCUU
rnacentral:misc_RNA from 1 species